CGACUCUGCCUUGAGCAUUGUACUGGGAUCCAUGGCAAGGACAUAGGAACUUGUUCUCAGCUUUGUUCCAUGGCACAACACAUCCAAGAUGAGUGCACACUGCGUUUAUACCGUAUGUCGCUAGUGUCUUGUCGUUCUCCACAACUAGGUAAGUUGGAUCUCCCUAAUAACAUUAAAAAUAAACAUCAUUGAGAUCUUAAAGUAAUGUUUCAAGGGAAUAAUAACUUCUUCAUCUACCUUCAAUCCUUGGGUCAAGGUUCGAUCACCAGCACCAUGAGUCUUAAGCCAUUCUGCGGCAAUGACAUCGUUUCCA
rnacentral:lncRNA from 1 species